UACGGAGGGUGCAAGCGUUGUUCGGAAUUACUGGGCUUAAAGCGCGUGUAGGCGGAGUAUCAGGUAUCUUGUGAAAUCCCCGGGCUCAACCCGGGAACUGCUGGGCAAACCGGUAUUCUUGAGGCAAGUAGAGGUGAGUGGAACAACGGGUGGAGCGGUGAAAUGCGUAGAUAUCAGUUGGAACGCCGGAGGCGAAAGCGGCUCACUGGGCUUGUUCUGACGCUGAGACGCGAAAGCGUGGGUAGCAAACAGG
rnacentral:misc_RNA from 1 species